rnacentral:rRNA from 1 species
GACAGAGGAGGCGCGCGUUAUCCGGAGUCAUUGGGCGUAAAGGGUACGUAGGCGGCUAGUCAAGUCUGAGGUUAAAGACCACAGCUUAACUGUGGGAAGGCCUUAGAAACUGAUUGGCUAGAGAGGGGCAGGGGUUGCGGGAAUUCCCGGUGUAGCGGUGAAAUGCGUAGAUAUCGGGAAGAACACCUGAGGCGAAAGCGCGCAACUGGGCCCUAACUGACGCUGAGGUACGAAAGCUAGGGGAGCGAAUGGG